AGAAGGCGGAGGCAGGAGAAUGGCGUGAACCCGGGAGGCGGAGCUUGCAGUGAGCCAAGACUGCGCCACUGCACUCCAGCCUGGACGACAGAGCAAGACUCCGUCUCAAAAAAAAAAAAAAAAAAAAAUUUCUGCCUCACAUGGACUCAAGUUUUAUCGCCUGACCCUUGUAAUUCUUACUGUCUUAACACAUCUCGGGGUUAGUGUACAUUUAGUAUCUGCCAUCUGCUCAAAUGCUCUAAGCUUUCUCUAUGAUUAUGAUUCUAGGAGCUCAGAAAUUCACUUAAGCAUAUUUUUUUCCCUGCUUUUAAUUUAUCCAACCUCUCUAGGUGAUUAAAGAGGGUUUCAGUGUUGUUCAUUCUCCUGCCACACAUACAUCUGUCACCUCUGUAUGCUUAUUCUGUGAUUAUGUGCCUCUUGAGGAAAAACAAGAUGCAUAGAGUCAUUUAAACUAUAAUUUUCUAAAGUACUUGUGUUGUGAAACAGGUAGAAAAUACUAUAAGAUGGAGGAUACGCCGAGAUGAAGAAGGAAAUGAAAUUAAAGAAAGCAAUGCUCGGAUAGUCAAGUGGUCAGAUGGAAGCAUGUCCCUGCAUUUAGGCAAUGAAGUGUUUGAUGUGUACAAAGCCCCA
rnacentral:lncRNA from 1 species